GCGGAGGAAAAGAAACCAACAGGGAUUGCCCUAGUAACGGCGAGUGAAGCGGCAACAGCUCAAAUUUGAAAUCUGGCUUCGGCCCGAGUUGUAAUUUGUAGAGGAUGCUUUUGGCGCGGUGCCUUCUGAGUUCCCUGGAACGGGACGCCAGAGAGGGUGAGAGCCCCGUAUAGUCGGACACCAAGCCUAUGUAAAGCUCCUUCGACGAGUCGAGUAGUUUGGGAAUGCUGCUCAAAAUGGGAGGUAAAUUUCUUCUAAAGCUAAAUACCGGCCAGAGACCGAUAGCGCACAAGUAGAGUGAUCGAAAGAUGAAAAGCACUUUGAAAAGAGGGUUAAACAGCACGUGAAAUUGUUGAAAGGGAAGCGCUCAUGACCAGACUUGCGCCCAGUAAAUCAUCCAGCGUUCUCGCUGGUGCACUUUGCUGGGCUCAGGCCAGCAUCGGUUUUGGCAGGGGGAUAAAAGCUUCGGGAAUGUGACUCUUUCGGGAGUGUUAUAGCCCGUUGUAUAAUACCCUUGCUGGGACCGAGGUACGCGCUCCGCAA
rnacentral:rRNA from 1 species